rnacentral:rRNA from 1 species
AGCGAACGCUGGCGGCAGGCCUAACACAUGCAAGUCGAACGAAGUCUUCGGACUUAGUGGCGGACGGGUGAGUAACACGUGGGAACGUGCCUUUCGGUUCGGAAUAACUCAGGGAAACUUGUGCUAAUACCGAAUGUGCCCUUCGGGGGAAAGAUUUAUCGCCUUUAGAGCGGCCCGCGUCUGAUUAGCUAGUUGGUGGGGUAAAGGCUCACCAAGGCGACGAUCAGUAGCUGGUCUGAGAGGAUGAUCAGCCACAUUGGGACUGAGACACGGCCCAAACUGCUACGAGAGGCGGCAGUGGGGAAUCUUGCGCAAUGGGCGAAAGCCUGACGCAGCCAUGCCGCGUGAAUGAUGAAGGUCUUAGGAUUGUAAAAUUCUUUCACCGGGGACGAUAAUGACGGUACCCGGAGAAGAAGCCCCGGCUAACUUCGUGCCAGCAGCCGCAGUAA